AGAGAGAGACAUGCGCGCAUAUCAAUAAGCGGAGGAAAAGAAGCUAACUAGGAUUCCCUCAGUAACGGCGAGUGAAGCGGGAAGAGCUCAAAUUUGAAAUCUUCAAGGUUUUACCUUGACGAAUUGUAGUUUAAAGAAGUGUUUUCUGUUGGAGUUUUGGUAAAAGUUCUUUGGAAUAGGACAUCAUAGAGGGUGAGAAUCCCGUAUUUGACCAUUAUUUCCAGCUUUGUGAUACACUUUCAAAGAGUCGGAUUGUUUGGGAAUGCAGUCCAAAAUGGGUGGUAAAUUUCAUCUAAAGCUAAAUAUUGGCGAGAGACCGAUAGCGAACAAGUACCGUGAGGGAAAGAUGAAAAGAACUUUGAAAAGAGAGUUAAACAGUACGUGAAAUUGUCAAAAGGGAAGCGUUUGACACCAGUGUUGUUUUCUCGAAAAUCAAUUAAAAAAGGCAGGAUUUUGUGUUGUAUUGACUUUAUCAGCUUUCUGCACUCUUUUCUUGUCUUUUUUAAUGCACUUUUCGUUUAACAAGUCAACAUCAAUUUCUUUUGUUGUAAAAGGGUCAUUGGAAGGUGGCUUUCUUUUCGGAGAAAGUGUUUAUAGCCUUUGGCCUCUGCAAUCGGAGAGAUUGAGGUCUGCAGCGUAGAUCCUUCGGGGUUAGAUACAUUUGUGCUAAGUUAUAGCCUUUCAUAGACAACUUGUUGACUAUGAUCAGUCAUGUAGCUUACUCGCUUAUGCUAUUUUACCUACGCUUAGGAUGUUGAUGUGAUACUGCGAGCA
rnacentral:rRNA from 1 species